rnacentral:rRNA from 1 species
GACGAACGCUGGCGGCGUGCCUAAUACAUGCAAGUAGAACGCAGUUGCGAACGGGUGAGUAUCGCGUAUGUAACUUCCUCAUUGCGGGGGAUAACUAUUUGAAACGAUAGCUAAUACCGCAUACUGUGAGAUGGACCUGAGUUGCAUUAGGUAGUUGGUGAGGUAAAGGCCCACCAAGGCGACGAUACAUAGCCGACCUGGGAGGGUGAUCGGCCACACUGGGAAUGAGACACGGGCCCGGAUCCUACGGGAGGCAGCAGGAGGGAAUCAUCGGCAAUGGACGGAAGGCUGAACGAGCAAAGCCGGGGGAGUGAAGAAGGUUUUCGGGUCGUAAAGCUCUGUUGUUAGGGAAGCGGUAACUAACGAGAAAGGGACGGCUAACUACGUGCCAGCAGCCGCGGUAAUAC